UCAUAAACAACCAGGAUGUUGGCUCAGAAGCAGCCACCAUUUAAAGAGUGCGUAAUAGCUCACUGGUCGAGAGACCCUGCGCCGAAGAUUCCCGGGGCUAAAGUACGAAACCGAAGCUGUGGCUGUAUACGUAAAGUAUACGGGGUAGGGGAGCGUUCCCAUAGGGUAGAAGUCGAACUGGAAGGUUCGGUGGACUUGUGGGAAGUGAGAAUGUUGGUAUGAGUAGCGAAAAGAAAGGUGAGAAUCCUUUCCACCGAAAGCAUAAGGAUUCCUGAGCAACGAUCGUCGUCUCAGGGUAAGUCGGGACCUAAUCCGAGGCAGAGAGCGUAGGAGAUGGACAACUGGUUGAUAUUCCAGUACCGGUAGUAAUUGUUUGAGCAAUGGAGUGACACAGAAGGGCAGGCAAGCAUGCGAAUGGAAGAGCAUGUGUAAGCGUGUAGGGUGGUGCAUAGGCAAAUCCGUGCACUGAAAGCCUGAGGCGUGAUGCGGAGUGAGCAGAGAUGCGAGCGAAGUUGUUGACCCCACACUGUCGAGAAAAGCUUCUAGUGAGAGAGCUACCGCCCGUACCGUAAACCGACACAGGUAUGCGGGGAGAGAAUCCUAAGGUGCGCGGGAGAACCCUCGUUAAGGAACUCGGCAAAAUGUACCCGUAACUUCGGGAUAAGGGUAGCCACUGUUGUGAAGUCCCAUGCGGAUGGAGCAUAGAGUGGUCGCAGAGAAGAGGCCCAAGCGACUGUUUACCAUAAACACAGGUGCCUGCUAAAGCGAAAGCUGACGUAUAGGUGCUGACACCUGCCCAGUGCCGGAAGGUUAAGGAAGGAUGUUCGGAUUAGUCCAAAGCAUUCGACUGAAGCCCCGGUGAACGGCGGCCGUAACUAUAACGGUCCUAAGGUAGCGAAAUUCCUUGUCGGGUAAGUUCCGACCCGCACGAAAGGUGUAACGAUUUGGGCACUGUCUCAACGAGGGACCCGGUGAAAUUGAAAUACCUGUGAAGAUGCAGGUUACCCGCGACUGGACAGAAAGACCCCAUGGAGCUUUACUGUAACCUGACAUUGGGUUUUGAUACAUUACGUACAGGAUAGGUGGGAGGCAUGGAAAGCUGGACGCUAGUCUGGCUGGAGCCGACGUUGGGAUACCACCCUUGAUGUAUUGAAAUUCUAACCGCGAGAGUAACGAAAUCCGGGACAGUGUCAGGCGGGCAGUUUGACUGGGGCGGUCGCCUCCGAAAGAGUAACGGAGGCGCCCAAAGGUUCCCUCAGCGCGGCCGGAAAUCGCGCGAAGAGUGUAAAGGCAGAAGGGAGCUUGACUGCGAGUCAAACACGACGAGCAGGUACGAAAGUAGGGCUUAGUGAUCCGGUGGUACCGAGUGGAAGGGCCAUCGCUCAACGGAUAAAAGCUACCCUGGGGAUAACAGGCUAAUCUCUCCCAAGAGUCCAUAUCGACGGGGAGGUUUGGCACCUCGAUGUCGGCUCAUCACAUCCUGGGGCUGAA
rnacentral:rRNA from 1 species